rnacentral:lncRNA from 1 species
AAAUUUUGCAAACAUUCAAUUGAAUUAUUUAUUAUGUCAUAUUGAUAUUCUGUCUAUGUGGUUGAAUUGUAGCUUACUAUGGCCAGAAAAAAAUCAUGGAAUAUGUCAUAGUUGUAGAUGUAAUGAUCACUUCUUUGCGAAUUGCCCAAAUAAAUGUCCAUGGCUGUGGCGUAAACAUGUAUUUGUGAAGUGUUUUCAAGUGGAGAAGGAUAGUAAGAACAGAGGUAAAUUGUUCAAUUGUUGCACUGCGAACUGCGGAUAUUGGGAAUGUGUUAAAGAGGGUGAAACGAGCAAUGAAUCAAGUGUCGUUGGCAUUACCUCCACUAACCUUCUGGCGCCUGAAUUAGUUCAAGAUGUCUCUAGCAUGUUUGAAACCAUGUGUCAGCUAACUCAUGAAAAAGAUAUGGAGAUUUCUGUAAAUGUGACAAUAUGCAAAG